UUGAAUCAACUAGAUGGGAGAGAAGAUCAGAAGAGAAGGAUCGAAAUUGAUGAAGAAAGGAUUUGAGAAGAGAAAGGCUGAAGAGUUGAGAGAGAAAGACUUGAGCUCGGAAGAAAAUUUCUUUUCUUUUGGAGUGAACAGUUUUUCUCCAGAAUGCACCUAUUUAUAGAACAAGGUGAGCAGAUCUCCACCGUUGGAUGAACGAUCUCAGAAUUUGAAUCCACGCGUUGGAUUAAAGUCGCCCCGAAACCCGGAAAAGCUGUUGACGCGUGUUGAGCGUGUAAGGGGACAGGCCGAACCUCGAGACGCUGUGGCAGACAGCUUUAGCCGAAAGUGAUUUGCUUUCCGUAAAUCACGGAAGAGACGUGUCGUGGCACGUGGAGUGUACCGACAGUUUGUUGUUAUUCUAUCGCUUAUGAUAGAAUAAAUAAAAGAAGUUGCAUGGAUAGUAACGAGAGCAGCUGGUGCUCUAGUGGUUGAAGAGCAAGGCUCUUGUACAAGAGGUCAGAGGUUCGAACCUUGCCUCUCGUUUAUUUUUAUUAUGUUCGCUUAUGACAUAAUAAGUAUAACAUUUGUACACAUUAUAUUAAGCACAGCUUGUGCUCCAGUGGCUGGGGACAAAAGUUUUGUGCAGCAGGUUGAGGUUUCGAACCUUGCCUUCCCCGUUAUUUUAUUUAUGUCGCUUAUGACAUAAUAAAUAUAACACGUGGGCAUAUAUUAAUGAAGGCAGCUCUUGCUUCAGUGGUUGGGAGCAAAACCUUCGUGUUCGAGGUCGGGAGUUCGAACCUUACCUCUUACAAAUAUUUUUGGAUCUCGUAUAUGCUUGAUAUACGGACGUAUAUACGGUAUGUACGGUAUACAUACGUAUAUAUGGUCUGUACAGUAUGCAUACGUAUAUACAGUUGUACGAUAUGCAUACGUAUAUACGGUCUGUACGGUAUGCAUACAUAUAUACGGUAUACCUACGGUAUGUACAAUUUCAUACCGUAGCCGAGCUGGAAGUCGGUGGGCCGAUUGGUAGGCCCAAAUAGUAAGCCCAAUUGUUCGGCCCGAAUGGUAGGCCCAAAUGUUAAGCCCAAUUGUUCGGCCCGAAUGGUAGGCCCAAAUGUUAAACCCAAAUUGGUUCGGGCCGGUUCGAAAUGUGAAUGGUUCGGUUCCUUCGGCCCAAUUGGCCAGCCCUAAUGCUUAGCCCAAGGAUUGAGCAAGCCCACGUCAUCAUCACUGGGUGACAUAUUUUAUUGGUGUACUUUUGGGGAUGAUUUGUUUUGAGUGAUGCAUCUCUAUUGUUGUGUAGAAUAGUGCAUGCUUAAGUUUUACUAUAGAGAUUUACCGUGAUGCUAAUGGAGUAGCGAAACGCUUUGUGGGAGUCUUUACUGUGCUUGUAUGCCAGUACAGGGUGAUGAUCUAUGUGAGGAUCUAUGAGAUAAUCUCUGUGAAGAUCUAAGUGAUGAUCUCUGUGAUGAUCCACGUGAUGAUUUUGUGUAAUUGAUGUGGAGUGAUGUUGAGCAGUUGUUUUGUGAAUUUACAUCGUGACGAAAGGAUUUAGUGGCCAUAGGAAUGUAUUUUUAUACAAAGGGCUGUGGCUUUGUAGAUUACUACAACUUUGGGAUUGAUAGAGAUUCGAUGAUUAGGUCAACCUUAAUUGAGAGGAAUUGACUUACGCUUAAAUUUCGGGACGAAAUUUCUUUAAGGAGGGUAGAUUGUAAUACCCCGAAAAAAAUCCAAAUUAAAUUCCGUGGAUUUUUAGAAGUGAUUUCACGAUAGUGGGAGCGAGUACGAGGCUCGGAGAAGUUGUGAAAUUAGUUCGAACGAUUAAUUUUCGAAAAAACGAACGUUAUUUAGGGGCUCACAUGCAGCAGUUCAAGUUCCUUGAGGCUCUUGACAUGGAGAAUUCAGACCAACAAGUGGUCAAAUGUAAAAACCAAUUCGUGGCUAAUUCUGAAGACACCAUGUUCUAUGACAUGGUAGUUGGCGACAAAGCCAAUCUAUGCUCAUCUUCAUCUCCAAAAUUACAAUUGAAGAUCCUGCUUCGCCAACUAACAAAGAUAUUUGGGGGGCAAGAUUACUCCUCCUAUGAGCCAAAUUUCUUCCAAGUUUUUGACGCGAAGUAUUUUUGUUCUUUUCCUACAAGCUCUCACAGGAGGAAUUUUCAUGCUAUAAAUUUUGAUACAUCGGAACUUGGAGUGAAGCAUAGAUGGUCUCCCUCGUGACUUUCUAGAGGUUAGCCAAACGUGUUGCUGCUAGCUUCUUUAUUUGCUUCUAAUUUUUUUUGUCAAUUUUCAGUUUGCACAUUUCUUUUCGUUGUUUAAAAAAAAAAAAAAUAGAAAAGAGAAACUCAAAAAAGAGUUUUUUGUUAUGGGCAUACUCGGAUGCAAAAAUAGUGUUCUGGCCUAGCAGUGGCUUGAACCUAAUUUCUAAGAUAUUUGGAGGCUAUUUGACUCUGAUGUCGAGUUGAGGCCCAUGCCGUCGUGCGCAUGCGAAGUGUGCAAUACGCCUAAAGUUUGGCGGCGGCAAAAUAAAAAAGCUUCCCUGUCUUUGAUGGCGAAGAAGCUCCUUUUGGAAGCCUCUUCUGUUUGUUCGCAAAGCAGCCCAGAGGCCCAUAGGCACAUCCACCUCAAAGAAGUUGAGCGAAACAUCUUGGAGCACAGCGAAAUUCACCUGCUAAGCUACGCGAAAGAUCCCUCACAUUGCUGGCGAAUCAAGGACAGGCAGCGAACCGCUGGGCUCGCAUCCGGAAUUCUACCAUAAGACUUGUUUAGAGUUUUAUGUUUUGUAAGGGCCAAGUCCAGUGGCCUCAAAGUGAAACUAGGAACAAUCUUCUGUCAAUCACAGUGGCAUUGAAGGUUCAUCAGAUUGAUGCGAGCAGUUGCAUGAAGUCUGCGAAUGGAGUACAGACAAGAGGUGAACUCCCAGCGAAAUGAGCUCGCAAAAGGUAUCAAGAACUUAAUUUUUCUCCACUAUACCUUGAUUUGUGGCUGAGAUGUUUUUGGAGACUAAUUUAUCAGCUGGGUCAGCGAGUGGCUCUAAUUGAUAAUUAAUUAAUCAUCAUUCCAUUUAUCUGAGGCGGUGGAGAGGUGGUAUAUUCCGACAAUGUAUAAAAAACAUGGAGCCAACAUAGUGGCUUGGUGACUUUUAAUUAAGCAUAAUUAAAAACCUGUUCAAGUAAAUCCAGAAUAUAUGUCUGGCCCAAACUCUAGGUUACUUGACCUAGUUGUAAUAGGGUUAUGAAUUAGAGAUAUUCUCGGAGAUAUUCAUAGAUAUCCGAUUAAUUGUACGAUUAUCUUUCUUUGUACAACUCUAAUUUUAUGUCUUGUAAUCCUCUAUAUAAAGAGGCCCCUAUUAUCAAUGAAAGUACGACUCAAUUCUCUCCCAAUUCAGUUUUCCUUAAACACGUUAUCAGCACAAAGCCCUAACCCUAAAACAAAUAGCUAAAACCCUAAAUCCGAAUACAAAACCUUGAAACCUUUUCUACCUCCGCUACAUAACUUGAAGCCCUCGACCCCAGGAAUCCAGAACCGGCGGCAGAACCGGCCGGAAAAGCACGGAACCGACCCCGAGAAGAGAAAAAGGAUUCAUGCUCGGUUCACCACCUUUCAGACCGCCAUCUACCACCAAAUUUGACCUGAAGUAGCACCUAGAUUCCAUAAAUCUAGAACUGAAAACAGAAGCCCAAGAACCGGGAGGAAAGACACUGAACCAGCCGUCGGAAGCCCUUGAAUCGGUCAGGUUAGCCUUGUUCCAGCCCCGCGCGCAGCCCCCGUGCAGCCCUCGCUCACCCUCUGCACAUCCUGCCGGCAAAUCUCGCUAGCCCUUGAUAACAGCCCGCAAGCACUCUCCUGCUAGCCUCGCUUGCUGUCGAUCGACAGCUCGUGCGCGUGCUUCGCAACAGACCUCGAGCUACCCCCGCACACGCCUCGACAGGCGUCUGCCGACAGCCGCCGCAAGCACCUCGCAGGCCCCUGCCGGCAUCUGCUGAUAGCCCCCGCACAAGCCUUGCAAGCGCUGCGCAGCAGCUCCGGCCAGCGACCACCGCCGGCCACCUCCGGCGACCAAAUUCAGACGACUUUUUCGGCAGUUUUCAGGCAACUUUCCGGCGACUCUUCCGAAAAUUUUUUGACACUUUUUGAGGAUGAGUAAUCUGAACAAAUUGGACUUCGCUCCAUUGGGAACAACUGGCUCUGGAUAUCACAAGUGGGUUCGUGAUAUUCGCCAGCAUCUCAAGGCCGAUGGAAUCCUGGAUAUGAUUCUCGAGCCUAGUCAGGACGUGCUAACUGUUGAGCAAGCUCAAGAUUUGGAAGCAAAUAGAGUAGCCUUAGAGGCAAAUAAGGCGAAAACCAUCAUCCUAAUGACUCGUCAUAUGGAUGAUUCGCUCCAGUACGAGUGUAUGAAUGAAAAAGAUCCUAAAAGGCUGUGGGUCUCACUCGAAGAAAGAUUUGGCAACGUCCGUGACUCCCUGCUUCCUGACCUAGAAGUGAGAUGGCAUAGCCUUCACUUCUGUGAUUUCAAGUCAGUUCUUGACUACAACUCGGAAGCACUUCGCAUUAAAUCCUUAAUGGAAUUCUGUGGUAAAGAGAUCACAGAUGCGAUGUUGAUUGAGAAGACUCUCUCUACCUUCCCCGUCUCUACAUUGAUGGUUGCUAAGAACUAUUGAAUCGAUGUUACUGCAGGAUGGAUCACAAGGUUUCAUGAGCUCAUUGGAGCUAUGAAUGUCGCUGAAAAGCAUGACAACAUCCUUGUGAAGAACUAUAAUUCGAGAUCCGAGGAAACAAAGCAUAUUCUGGAAUCCAAUUAUAGUCGCGCCCCUAAGAGAGGGCGCCAAGAGCGAAACCCUAAUCUUAGGGAUACUUCUGGACGUUUUGGUCCAUAUAAUCGCUCUACUUGGGAAGGUAACCGCCAAAAUAGGCGAACACGGAACCGAAGAGGUCAACAUGGAAAGAGAGAGAGAGAGGCAACGCCUUUGACUGUGUUGGUGGCGCUACCAACACUAAGAGCCAUCUAAAUGAUGCUUUCAAAGCGCCCCAGUCAAUGGAGUCUGAGCAAAGAAAUGUAUGUUCUCGAUGUGGAGUAUCCAGUCAUUGGGCACACAUUUUUGUAGAGCUCGUGAAGAAAUUGUCAUCGCCUACAAAGCAUAUUGUGAAGCAAGAGAAGCUCACUAUGUGGAACAAGAAUAUCAAGAAGAUGAUCUAGAAUGAAGGGUUGAAGUGUACAAAUCUGGCUGGAAUCAAUAGAUCGCCAAUUCUGUUUAAGUCUUUAUUUUUCUAAGAGAUGUAAUAGGCAAUUGCCAUAUACUUUGUAGUAAAUAUCAUUGGUUUACUUUUUCUUCA